AUGGAGGGUGCACUUGCUGAUAUGAAGUUUUAUUUUAUACAAAUCCUGGAGAAGCUAAAUGAGGCCAUGUCAGUGUUGCCAGAAGACAUGAGAAUCAUGCCAGAUCUCUGUGGCUUAACAUUGGAACAUAGUGUUCUGGAGGCUGGGAAGUUCAAGAUCAAGGUACCAGCAAAUUUCAUUACCUGGUGCCCCAUAAUGGCACACAGCUUUACUCAGCAAGCCCUGCCAGCUUCCAAGCCCCAGGAUACUGACCUGUACCAGCACAUGGGGCAGCAUUACCUCCCCAACAGUGUGGAGAAGAGAACAUUUCACCACUGGGUGAUGAGAGUAGACAGUGACUCUUGGCUUCUCAAUGCUUGGAGAGCAUGAUUGGAGACCUUUCAUUGUUCUAUUAGAAAAGUCCAUGAAGAAGCUGUGA
rnacentral:antisense_RNA from 1 species